UAUGAUUGAUUGGCAUGAUUUUGUUGUUGUUGAGACGAUAGAUUUUGCUGAUGAUGAGGAUCAGGAUUUACCUCCACCUAUGACCCUUGAGGAGGUUAUAAGGAGGAGCAAGAUGCCUACAUUGGAGGAAGAGGAAUAUGUUGAGCCUGGAAAGGAGGUGGAAAUGGAGAUGGAUGAAGAAGAGGUGCAGCUAGUUGAAGAAGGUAUGCGAGCUGCGACUCUUGAAGGGAAUGGUGGUGUCAAGAGUGCUGAAACAAUGGCAAUUUCCGAAGAAAAUGAUCCACCAAUGCGGAUUGUGAAGAACUGGAAGAGGCCUGAAGAGAGAAUCCCGGCAGAAAGGGACCCAACUAAGUAUGUUGUCUCUCCUAUAACUGGUGAGUUAAUACCUAUUAGUGAGAUGUCUGAACAUAUGAGGAUCUCUCUCAUUGAUCCGAAGUACAAGGAACAGAAGGACAGGAUGUUUGCGAAGAUUAAGGAAACGACUCUUGCGCAAGAUGAUGAGAUCUCUAGGAACAUUGUUGGGCUUGCACGAACUCGUCCAGAUAUAUUUGGUACUACAGAAGAAGAAGUUUCAAAUGCGGUCAAGGCUGAGAUUGAGAAAAAAAUAGAAGAGCCGAAGCAGGUCAUAUGGGAUGGUCACACAGGUAGCAUUGGCCGCACUGCAAGCCAGGCAAUGUCUCAGAACAAUGCAGAGGAUCAGAAUGAUGCUGCAAAUGAUGUAAGAAACCUUCCUGGUCCACAGGCUCCUCCACCUCCCAGACCCGGUCUUCCUUCUGUUAGGCCACUACCUCCACCUCCUGGGCUUGCGCUGAAUAUUCCUAGGCCUCCUAAUACAUUCCAGUAUUCCACACCAACCAUUGCUGGUGCUGCUCCGCC
rnacentral:lncRNA from 1 species